rnacentral:rRNA from 1 species
GACGAACGCUGGCGGCGUGCUUAACACAUGCAAGUCGAACGGAAAGGCCCUGCUUUUGUGGGGUGCUCGAGUGGCGAACGGGUGAGUAACACGUGAGUAACCUGCCCUUGACUUUGGGAUAACUUCAGGAAACUGGGGCUAAUACCGGAUAGGAGCUCCUGCUGCAUGGUGGGGGCUGGAAAGUUUCGGCGGUUGGGGAUGGACUCGCGGCUUAUCAGCUUGUUGGUGGGGUAGUGGCUUACCAAGGCUUUGACGGGUAGCCGGCCUGAGAGGGUGACCGGCCACAUUGGGACGGAGAUACGGCCCAGACUCCUACGGGAGGCAGCAGUGGGGAAUAUUGCACAAUGGGCGGAGGCCUGAUGCAGCAACGCCGCGUGCGGGAUGACGGCCUUCGGGUUGUAAACCGCUUUCGCCUGUGACGAAGCGUGAGUGACGGUAAUGGGUAAAGAAGCACCGGCUAACUACGU